GACAGAGGGUGCUAGCGUUGUUCGGAUUCACUGGGCAUAAAGCGCACGUAGGCGGCUGGGUUCGUUCGAUGUGAAAGCCCCCGGCUCAACCGGGGAACUGCAUCGAAUACUGCCCGGCUCGAGGAUGGUUGGGGUGAGUGGAACUCCUGGUGGAGCGGUGAAAUGCGUAGAUAUCGGGAGGAACACCAGUGGCGAAGGCGACUACCUGGCCUGUUUCUUGACGCUGAGGCGCGAAAGCUAGGGGAGCAAACGGG
rnacentral:rRNA from 1 species